UACGGAGGGGGCUAGCGUUGUUCGGAAAUACUGGGCGUAAAGCGAACGUAGGCGGCUUGGCAAGUCAGGGGUGAAAUCCCGGAGCUCAACUCCGGAACUGCCUUUGAAACUGCUUAGCUAGAAUCCUGGAGAGGCGAGUGGAAUUCCGAGUGUAGAGGUGAAAUUCGUAGAUAUUCGGAAGAACACCAGUGGCGAAGGCGACUCGCUGGACAGGUAUUGACGCUGAGGUUCGAAAGCGUGGGGAGCAAACAGG
rnacentral:misc_RNA from 1 species